AGAGUUUGAUCAUGGCUCAGGACGAACGCUGGCGGCGUGCUUAACACAUGCAAGUCGAACGGUGAACCUCCUUCGGGAGGGGAUUAGUGGCGAACGGGUGAGUAACACGUGGGCAACCUGCCCCGCACACUGGGAUAAGCCCUGGAAACGGGGUCUAACACCGGAUAUGACUCAAGGUCGCAUGGUCUUGGGUGGAAAGCUCCGGCGGUGCGGGAUGGGCCCGCGGCCUAUCAGCUUGUUGGUGAGGUAACGGCUCACCAAGGCGACGACGGGUAGCCGGCCUGAGAGGGCGACCGGCCACACUGGGACUGAGACACGGCCCAGACUCCUACGGGAGGCAGCAGUGGGGAAUAUUGCACAAUGGGCGCAAGCCUGAUGCAGCGACGCCGCGUGAGGGAUGAAGGCCUUCGGGUUGUAAACCUCUUUCAGCAGGGAAGAAGCUCUUGAGUGACGGUACCUGCAGAAGAAGCGCCGGCUAACUACGUGCCAGCAGCCGCGGUAAUACGUAGGGCGCGAGCGUUGUCCGGAAUUAUUGGGCGUAAAGAGCUCGUAGGCGGCUUGUCGCGUCGGUUGUGAAAGCCCGGGGCUUAACUCCGGGUCUGCAGUCGAUACGGGCAGGCUAGAGUUCGGUAGGGGAGAUCGGAAUUCCUGGUGUAGCGGUGAAAUGCGCAGAUAUCAGGAGGAACACCGGUGGCGAAGGCGGAUCUCUGGGCCGAUACUGACGCUGAGGAGCGAAAGCGUGGGGAGCGAACAGGAUUAGAUACCCUGGUAGUCCACGCCGUAAACGGUGGGCACUAGGUGUGGGCGGCAUUCCACGUCGUCCGUGCCGUAGCUAACGCAUUAAGUGCCCCGCCUGGGGAGUACGGCCGCAAGGCUAAAACUCAAAGGAAUUGACGG
rnacentral:rRNA from 1 species